rnacentral:rRNA from 1 species
AACGAACGCUGGCGGCAUGCCUAACACAUGCAAGUCGAACGAGACCUUCGGGUCUAGUGGCGCACGGGUGCGUAACGCGUGGGAACCUGCCCUUAGGUUCGGAAUAACUCCCCGAAAGGGGUGCUAAUACCGGAUAAUGUCUUCGGACCAAAGAUUUAUCGCCUUUGGAUGGGCCCGCGUUGGAUUAGCUAGUUGGUAGGGUAAAAGCCUACCAAGGCGACGAUCCAUAGCUGGUCUGAGAGGAUGAUCAGCCACACUGGGACUGAGACACGGCCCAGACCCCUACGGGGGGCAGCAGGGGGGAAUAGGGGAAAAGGGGCGAAAGCCUGAUCCAGCAAUGCCGGGUGAGGGAGGAAGGCCUUAGGGUUGUAAAGCUCUUUUACCCGGGAUGAUAAUGACAGUACCGGGAAAAAAAACCCCGGCUAACUCCGU